GGGUCAGUAGGUUGGUCGUGCCACCGGUACGUACUGGUCUCACUGAUUCCUCCUUCCUGAAGAACCGUAAUGCCAUUAAUUUGGUGUUGCGGGGAAACAGGACUGUAACUUUGAAGAAAUUAGAGUGUUUAAAGCAAGCUAACGCUUGAAUACAUUAGCAUGGAAUAAUGAAAUAGGACGAUCGAUCCUAUUUUGUUGGUUUCUAGGAUUGACGUA
rnacentral:rRNA from 1 species